CGCCCCUUUCUGGGCCUGGCCCGGCCGGGGGGCCGUGGAUGCUCCGGGGAUGCCCCAUGGAUGCCCCGUGGAUUUUGGUUUCCUAGGGAGGAACAGUUCUACACAGUACUUGCAUUUCCUAUGGGUGCUAUUGAAAGCACUUGGUCAGUACGUCUUUCACAGAAAAAACGUUCCAAGUAAACAUGAGUCUUCACUGCAAAGCCUUCUUCCAGAAUUUGCAAGGGAUUAAACAGAGUUUGCAGUAAUAGCUAUCUGAUAUUUAACUUUCUUUUGCAAGAGGCAGAAGGCAGGAAUGGAAAGCAUGGCCUUUACAACAACAAUGUCCUUCACAGAGGGGCUGGAUUGCAGCACCUGCAAUCCUGAGCUGAGGUGCAGACGAUGCUUCUGCGAUGACGCUUUCUGUGAAGCAGCCCUGGAGCCCUGAGCAGUGGGAACUGCUCAGCGAGUUCUGCUGACUCACAGUGCCACAGCAAAUGCGGCUUUAGAACUUCAGCAGAGUAUUGGAGAAUUGGUAGAAGUAUCCAUGCUAAGGAAAGAAGGGUGAAAGCCCUAAGAAAUAUGAAAGGGGUAAUUGAUUUAGGGAGUUGGUAGAAAGCAUUUUACAUUCCUGUCAUUGCUCACAUGAACAGUGCAGUCAUCUUGACCCAAGGGUAUAUUGGCAAACAGGCAAGGAAUGGAACCACCUGCAAACAGCUCAUACCAAUGGAUUUUGAAAAUUUAUAUCAUAGUAUUUUUCUCCAUUUGUGGUUGCUUUGAGGAAUAAAUAUCUUUCUUUUUCUCCUUCAUCUUAUUUGCCACUGCUAUGUUCUAACCUUUAUUUUACAGAACACUUUUUAUCUUAAUCAUAUUCACCCAUUUUUUCAGUUUAUUAAUUAAUGUAAUUAGAAUUAGUAAAUCUAUUUCAAUAGCAUGAUUCCUGUUGCAGAAUGUUUCACUGAUAUUUAAACAUUUUUGGUAAUUUUGGAAAAAAUUGUAACUCAAAAAUAUAAUACUUUAUCAAACAUUAUCAUAUUAAUAUAAGAAUCCUGAAACAAAUUUACUUGGGUUUCUUGUUAUGAAGUGUUUUGUCUUGCCAAUACCAGUGCUUUAUUUCAGCUAUCAUUUCACUGGAUUCAUUUUAGACUUUAUUAAAAUUUGCAUCAAUAUAUUAAGCUCAAAAUUUAUAUUUGUAUCAGAAUAGAAUAUGAAUGUAUUGAAACAUGAAAUUAUUGAAGCCAACUUUCAAAAUUAUUUAUUUCUGAAUGUUUUUGUAAGAAAUAUUAUGGCUUCAGACCAAUCUAAAACACAGUCUGCAGAAAUAUUUAUGUAUUUUUUUUCCUGAUGGGGGAGAGCAGGUUUUUAGAGGUGUUGUGCAUUCCUAGCUCCUGUGGAAAUGAAGCACAUGCACUAAAAAGGAGGAAUUUGCUUUGCUGCAAUACAGACAAACUUGUAUGACAUAUAUCAAAGACCAGGUUCAGUCUUAGGAAGGAGAAAGCUGGUAAAUGCCUUAAUUUUAAAUUAUACUUUUUGAAUCUUAACCCUUGAACAGCUGCAGAUGUGGGAAACAUUUCACCUGAUGUGCCUCUGUACUGCAUCUUGCUGUUCAGUGGUGCUAAAUAAAUUACAAUCCUCUGUUUACAUUGCAGAGCUUGUUCAGGCAAUGCCAAACCUGCGACCACAGGAAGCCCCAGGGUAAUAUUUAUGCAAUUCCUGAUCAGGAGCAAGCUGACUAUUCCUGUUACAGUGGCCCAACUCCGUAAGCUGCAGCUCAUGAGCUGCUUCAUGCUAAUUAAAGGGGUGAGGGUUGAUUAGGAUCUUGAGCCCUCCAGCAAUCAGAAAUAUCUUCCUCUUCAUCUAAGCUUCAGCUACAGGCCAAAGCAGGUUUCCCUUGUUUAGCUGGAACCUCUCACACCUUGUCUUCUAACCCUUUCAACAAAUACAGGGCUCUGACCAAGCUGGAUAGUUGCAAUGUGGCACAAGUUAGUAAAAUUCCAUAGAAAAUCAUUUUAGAAUGAGACAUCUCCACUUAAUUAGUUAUCAAAGUAUAUUUUCUCAAUAUUUUUUGAAUUAUUUUUUCAGCGCCCAGCAGAAGUCACAAUAGGAUCUUUUGCAAUGAGCAGAAAGAAGGUGGUGAAGUGAUUUACAUUGCCUGCAGUUUAGUUUUUACUUUUAUUUGCAUUUUUUAUUAUUACAAGAUAGCUCUUACUGUGCUGUGGAUGGGCAGGAGGGUGGGCUGAGCCUUCUGUAUAGAACAGGUCUCCCCUUUCUCCAGUCAGUCAAACCACCAAGUCAGACCAUGUGCUAGCACAGCACUGCUGGAAUGAGGUUGUAGGUAGGAGGGAAUACACAGCAAACUCUGCAUGUGCUGCACUGCAGCUUCCUUCUGGGCCCUGAGAGAGACACUAAGAGUAGUCCAGGUGCUGCACAGCCUGUGGAACUUGUCAUCACCAGUGAGGCAGCCAGAGAGAAAUGUAUGAGAAGCAUGGUGGGCUGCCAUUUCCUCAGGUCUCUGCUACAUCUACAACUGAUUAAUCAUUGCAAGAUUCACCAAAGGACAGACAGGACUUCUUUCCACAGUGGUUCACUAGAGGAUGUGUGUGACAGAAGCUGAGUUUCUACAAUUUAUGGUUGUUUUUUGCCUAAUUUCUGGCAAAACACAUACCUGCAGCUAUUGUUUAGAAACUUUUCUGAAUGUGGUCUUGGCCAGCAGUUUUUAAGUGAUAAAUCAGUGAAGGUUAGUCCUGGGGGUGAAAGCUCAUUUCUGAUGUCUGAAUUCAAACACACCACGGCUAUCCCUUGCCAAGGGCCAUGCAACACCUGCCCAUUGCAGGGCUCUGGUCAUGGCUCCCAGGAGGGACCCCCUCUAGCUGCCACACCCCUCCUUCACAACAGUCCAUGUGCUUUUGUGGCUGUGCAAGAACAGAAUAAGGGAGCCAGGAACUUAGAUGGACUUAAACCCAGAAGUUGAGAACAGUAUUUAAGUCUUAGCUUAAACCAAUUCCUUAAUCCAGAUCACUAUUCUUUUCUCUACCUGUUUAUAGUGGCACAAGGCAGAGAACAGGCUGGAAAAAAGAAGCCAGGAAGAGAAGGGAUCAAACUGCCUCUUUUUUUGGCAAUCCUACUUCACAGCAGCAGCAUGGAUGGGGAAGGCAUGGUUCACCUCUACUCCUCCACUCACCUGAAAACCUAUGCAGUUUAUGCUUCAGUAUUCUGAUUUUAUAAAGAAUGGAAAGAUUAAUGAGUACUGCCUGAGGUUCAUUGGUAUUUCUGAUCUUUUUGAGAUCAGAAGAAGGAAUUCAGCUAGAAAAGCUCAAAAACCUUCCAAAAGAGAGUAACAAUGCCUGGCAGAUGACCAGCCCGUGCAGGGCCAUUCAAGAAUUCCUGAGCUCACAUCAGCCCCAGUGGAGUGCUGCUCAGACGGCUGCCUGUCACACUGAGAGCACAGCAAGCUCUUCUGUUCCAGCCAUAAAAACAGGAUAACUAUGGGGUUUUUUGAAACUGCAAGGAAAUCACCUUUACGAGAAGGUACAUCUUACUUUAUAUACAGCUCAAAAAGUUUUCUAUCCUGAGCUCUGAUGAAUGUACUUGCUGCAGGAAAGCAAGAAAAGGUCUGGCUGCCAAGUUCGCUUGCUUGUCAUGUAGCUGUUGGGGACAGACUCUGUAUAAGCUCAUAAACCAAGGAAAGCAUUUCAUCAAUGAAUAAAGAAUUUAAAGCCACAAAAAACCUGUGUGGCUGAGAAAAAAGAUGACAAAGUCCUGUGCCAGUAUAAUUAUGUCAGUAGGAGCAGAUUUUUUUAAACUGAAUAAGUUCUGCCAGUCAAACCCCAACUGUGGACACAGACACACAGCUGCAUUACUGUGGCUCUCUUGCCUUUUACUAUGGCAAGCAGCCUUGUGGAAAUAAUGCUCAUGCAAACUUUUUCAAUGCACACAUAUGGAUAUACAUACUUUGGUGAUUGCUUCAGUGUAGUUAAAAUGAUUCAAACUUUAUGUUUAAGGAAAUCUUGAAAGAUUGUUCUCUGAAGGAUUUGGAUAAGCUCACAGUUUAUUAAGGUUUGGAUUGAGACUUGGAUAAGGCGAGGCUGCAGUGAGGUUUUCUCCACCUACAGUUUCAUGUUAAGAGAGGUAUUCUGCUUAUAGCUGUUUGUGAUUUUUUAGUCAGGUGGUUUUAGUACCUAUAACAAUUCUGGGAGCAUGCUUACAGCAAAAUGAGCCAUCUUACCACAUAUUUUGCAUUGCUGUAAUUUAUUAUUUUUUAAAAAAAAAACAAUGUAGCUCUUUUAAUAUUAAUGAAUAUAAAUCAGACUGACAUGGACACAUAACUCAUGUAUAUAAAUUCAUAUAAAGUGACCUGGACAUAUAUGAAUCCUACCACUAUUGUCCCAUGUUUUGCUGGCUUACAUCUGUCUUUGCUUCUUCUGUUGAGAGCAUGUUAAAGGUGACCUAAAGAACAUGUCCUCAUUCCAGUGGUUCUCCAUUUCCAUGAGUUUUUUGGGGCUACAGUUGAACCUUUUAAACUGCUAAAACUGAGAAAACAGGAAAGAUACAAGUCCGGUGUGGGCUACACCAUCACUUGCACUUUCUUCUCAUGGCUCCACUGGUUGAGGACCCUUUUCCUGUUUAGUUUAAAUGCUUCCUUAGAGUUCACCAACAGUUCACAAGCCAUUGUGCUUGCUGAUUUUGUACAGUCCCAUCAGGAGACACUGGCUUUCCUCUCUGGGAAGGGCAGCAAUUUCCAUUUUUUUCAAAAGCUACCACAAUGUAUAGUCUUACACAUGCAAAAAUAAUAGAUGCAGAGAAGCAUCUCCAAAGCCCAUGCCAGCAGUAUUCCAAAGCAAACUAACUUUAGUGUAUUAAAGAAAACAAAACAACAAACAAACCAAAUCCAUCUGAUAGUAGCCCCAGUAUAUGAGGAUGUUGCAGAAGGACACACCUCAUUUUUGCCACUGACACACAGAGGAAACUCAAGCUUCAUCAGCAAGAUGUAGAACAGCUUUUGGAAACAACCUCAAUCCUAACCAAAAUGAUCUUCCCUUGGACAGACAAGAGUUCUUUUGGACAUGCCACAACUAUCCUGAAGUUAACUAAAGAUGCUUCUGGGUGAUAAUCUAGAAGCACAGUUGGGAAAGCUCUGCUUUGAGUCAGGUGCUGUUCCUCUUGUGUUCACAAACCUUUCAUACUUACACACCAAUGGUGGGUGCACUGACUUGACUCCUACUUACUACUCUCAUGGAAGCAGGAAUAUAACCUGUCUUGCUCCACCAGUCACCCCCCAUCCUUGGCUUUUUCCCACUCAGAGUGCAUUCCAAAACAUUAUCUAAUCGCCACACUCAAUAACCAAAAGAGACUUUUUUUCACUUUUGCUCAAGUAGCAGUCUCAUAUACAAAGAUUAAACUGUACAUGUAGAUCUCCUCCACAUUACCAACACUCUGUCCUGUAACAUCCCAUUUCUGCCUCCUACUACAAGCAGCCCUUCUGAAAGAAAAAGUUCAUGUAGAAAAGAAUUGAAAAUUCAGGAGACAAGUUAUAGAAAACAGGGGCUGUAGUGUAAAAGGCAAAAGGGGAAAAACCCAAGCCAAACCACCAUCAACAAAAAGAGCUGGAAUAAAUCAACUGAGACAACAAUUUGCGUACAACUCUGAGCAUUUACUAGAGGGUCAGGCUUGUAAAGUGAAAUAGAUAGCUCAUUUAAAAUCACAAACUUUCAGACAUUUCAGAUUGCCUAGAUCCUGUAAGACACUUGUAGUUGCAUAGACGAUAAAUUCUAUUAAUAUGUGUUGUAUCACUGUGCUAUUAAAUUUAUUCUCAUAUACUCAGGGCCUGACAGUCUGUAAAUACAGCUUAGGCAAUGAGCAUGUCUGAAUGCAAGACUUGUUACAAUCCCAGAGUGUCAUUUUGGAUCUGCCUGCACAGGUAUUGCUUGCCAGUCACAUUUCUGACAGCUAAAAGGGACACUUCCACAGACAGGAUCACAGCAAAUAUUCCUAGUGGUUCUGAACAGGCCACUUCUGUGCUUUAUAUUAAUGUACCACAUGUACAAGAGCAGCCUUUAGAGUUGAACAUACAAUGCCAAUGCUGCCCUUUGGGAUUUUCCCUUCUCUCAGAGCUUCUGGAGAGGGGAAGGAAUGCUCGUGACUGAACAGAUGAAGACUGCUUGCCUUGAACCUCAGUUUUCUGGUGUGACCUCUAAGAAAGCUUUUCACAUGGAUGAAAAGUUUGUCCUAACCUGUGCCUAUGAAGAUUCCCAUUGUUUGAUAAGGGAUGAGCUAACAUGUACCUAUUCUCUUCAUCAGAACCCAAUUUCAUUACCCAAGUGCAAACUGUCCCAAUACCUAUAGAAGCUCAAUGUCCAAAAGAGGUCUAUGUACUUGUUUUUGAAAUUGUGCAAUAAAUAUAGAUACAUACACACUCCCUCUUUUAUUUAUUU